AAUCCAUACUAAUACAAGAUGUUGUAAACAGCUCAAACAGCACAACACUGAGAACAACAGAUUGGUAAAUGAGCAUCAGUCUGGUGAGAGAUUUCAUGUUACACCCCUCUGAAACACCAUGAGAAACAGAAUGACAAUAAGUCUUAUUCACAUCUCGCAUGUUUUUAUUCGUUCCGAUCAGUUUUAGGGAAUAAUCCUCAGUGUUCUGGAUCUUCAGAAUAAAUUCUGGGUUACAACACUUGGACCAUAUGACCCGUAGCUGUGAAGGUGUACCCUCUGCAGAACUUAGACAUGAUCUCAUGAACAUUUGCUCAAUUCACAACUGUUCAGACUGCUGAUACCGGAGCUGAAUCAUACCACCAGCUGGAAGCAGUGCAAAGAGACAACCUGGACACAUCUGAUAAGACUGAAGGAGUCACAUGACAUGGCCUUAACACAGACAAUUCCCCUGGUGAGCAAAGAAUAUCUUGCCAUUUUUGAAAACCUUUCACACAGAAUAUGUACCGAUACAAGCAACAUUGCUUUUGCUAAUUCAGUGACCAAUCGUGCAGUCAAGGAAUUUGUACAUUCUAAUAAGGAAGUCAUUCCAUCAAUAAGGGAUUUUGAUGGGUGGCCCAAAUGGGGUGAGGCAUCUUUAGCUGGGCUUGCAAAUGCUUUGAAGGCAAUGUAUUUGUCUGGUUGUGUACUAGCCAUGUCUAUUCAUUAUGACUCCAGGAAAAAAGCUUUGCAAAUCAGUUAGAAGUCGUCACAAUGCAGAGGGAAGGCGGUACGUCUUGGAUGGUGGCGUGAGCACUGACGAUGAGUCUGUCGAUGAUAUUGUUAGGGUUAGACUCAGAGUUUUGUCCAUUAUCACCAAAUAAUGAAGACCUUGAUAUAGAAAGACUGAAAGUAUUAUUGGCCUGGAAAGAUCAUCAGAAUGAGGUGAUUAAUCAUGUGAUAGAUGAUGUGACAUCUUUCAAUCAUGAACCCAGUAUAAAUGAGGCCACUGAUUUAGAUUUAAAUCAAGACAACUGAUGCCCUCGUUAUGAUGAUGAUGAUGUCAGGAAAUAGGUAGAGGUGGCUGUUGGGAUGGAGAUGUUCAUGAUCAAACAGGUUGUAGUGCAGAUUUACAUGUGAGGGGAAUAUGUCUGAGUACUGUAAGCCGUACAGCACUGUUCUAAUGCAUAGGUGUGCAUAAUACUGCAAUGUAUGUCUGUCAGACUACAGCAGUCGUCAGUGAAGCAUCUCUUGAAGGACACAGCUAAGGCUCCUUCACUGUUUUGAUGCAUGGUCCUCGUCUGUUUCUUUGGCCAGUAGUCUCUGAAGCACAGUCACAGCAGGAAUCACAUCUGAUGCCAAAGCAUUGGAGGAGCUCACUGUUCAGGUUAGCUCCUCAAAUGGGGCCAGAGCAGAUUUCUGGCUUUUGCAGGAGUGUCCACGGGUGAGGGGUUGAGAUUGUGGUGAGGGGAAGGAGCUCACAUUUGGAAUGAAAUCCCAGAGCCUGCUUCUGCACGAAUACUGUUUCUGUGGUGCGCUGAAGGCUGGGAAAUCCAACAUUUGGCAAUGCCUGGUCAUCAAGAGAAAUGUGCUGGAUAAGAGCGUCUGUUAUUUCUGUCUCUGGAUAUUUUCUCUUGCUUCAAGACAAGUUGGUUGUUGUUGUUGUUGCUGCUGCUCGCUGCAGCAAGUUCCUUGAAUUCUGUAUUGUGUUGGUUCUUUAAAUUGCUUGUGUUAAUGGAGCUACUUUUCACCCCUCUUGACCGUUUAGCAAAGUAUCAUUCGCAUUCAUCUUCUCUAGUUUUGCCAUUGUCACUUACCCUAAAAUAUCUCCAAACUGCUGAUGUUUCCACUUUAGCAGGGCUUGCGUCUCCGCUUUGCAGAACUUGUGUCGACAGCUUAAAUCAGACGCGUGUUUGUCAAAACACCAGCAAAGAGGGGGCGCUAUUGGGUGUUUGGGUUUCGUUUGUGGCACAGGUGGCCAGAUAGAUAAGGUUUUGCAUUUCCCAAAGACGUCAGACACGCUGUUUAUGGCUUAAGUCAAAACCUCUCUGAAGUGUAAGCAUGAAGCCUCAGGUUAAACAAGCCAUGUGACUGGUGAGGAGGCUCAGUGUGAAUACAUUGAGAAUUACUACGCUAGAAAAGAUUGAUGUUAAGUGCCAAGUAUGAUGUAAGGCAGGCUCAUGCCGUAUGACCUUCUGGAGAAGUUUGGUGACAUGAUGUCGUACUGUGACAUAGAGAGAUUCAUAUUUUUGUCACGUGAUGGUGAUUGGAUUCGUCCUCUGGGUCCUUCUUUGGAUGGACUGAGAACUUUGUGGGUCAGAGCAAGAGGACUUUAUUACUGAAUACAAAAUUUCUUUGAAAUUUCUAUGUAAACUGGGGGAACCCUGGGAACAUAGGAGUGACUACCAGGCAGGAUAAAUUGCUCCCGUUUACAAGAUUUCCAGCUCACCGGUUGGACGCGUUGAUGAAUAUUCAUUUUCAGAUACACCUGUAAGUAGUGUAAAUAAAAAAGGAAGAAGCCUGAGAAGACAAAGGUGUCCUAAUACAGACACUAAAAGAUGGUUGAAGUUUUUAUUUUUUUAAUUAUUGUUUUUUUAUGACUUGUUAUUAUUUAUGUCUAUCUCAUGCGUUGAUUAUUACACAAGCAUGUAUGUGAGGGAAGAAAAUAUGUUCGCAAACUGACUGUUUCCAGAUGAUUGUAUAAAAAUGCUUCAAUAAAACACGUUGAAAUGUU